rnacentral:rRNA from 1 species
GACGAACGCUGGCGGCGUGCUUAACACAUGCAAGUCGUACGGUAAGGCCCUUUCGGGGGUACACGAGUGGCGAACGGGUGAGUAACACGUGAGUAACCUGCCCACAACUUUGGGAUAACGCUAGGAAACUGGUGCUAAUACUGGAUAUGUGCUCCUGCUGCAUGGUGGGGGUUGGAAAGCUCCGGCGGUUGUGGAUGGACUCGCGGCCUAUCAGCUUGUUGGUGGGGUAGUGGCCUACCAAGGCGGCGACGGGUAGCCGGCCUGAGAGGGUGACCGGCCACAGUGGGACUGAGAUACGGCCCAGACUCCUACGGGAGGCAGCAGUGGGGAAUAGUGCACAAUGGGCGCAAGCCUGAUGCAGCAACGCCGCGUGCGGGAUGACGGCCUUCGGGUUGUAAACCGCUUUCAGCAGGGACGAAGCUUUUUGUGACGGUACCUGCAGAAGAAGCACCGGCUAACUACGUG